ACGCUCGACACCUACGGGAGCCAGCAGUAGGGAAUCUUCCACAAUGGACGCAAGUCUGAUGGAGCAACGCCGCGUGAGUGAAGAAGGUCUUCGGAUCGUAAAACUCUGUUGUUAGAGAAGAACACGAGUGAGAGUAACUGUUCAUUCGAUGACGGUAUCUAACCAGCAAGUCACGGCUAACUACGUGCCAACAGCCGCGGUAAUCUGAGCGGGCUGGCAAGGC
rnacentral:rRNA from 1 species